UGGCGAACGGGUGAGUAACACGUGGGUAACCUGCCCAUCAGAAGGGGAUAACACUUGGAAACAGGUGCUAAUACCGUAUAACACUAUUUUCCGCAUGGAAGAAAGUUGAAAGGCGCUUUUGCGUCACUGAUGGAUGGACCCGCGGUGCAUUAGCUAGUUGGUGAGGUAACGGCUCACCAAGGCAACGAUGCAUAGCCGACCUGAGAGGGUGAUCGGCCACACUGGGACUGAGACACGGCCCAGACUCCUACGGGAGGCAGCAGUAGGGAAUCUUCGGCAAUGGACGAAAGUCUGACCGAGCAACGCCGCGUGAGUGAAGAAGGUUUUCGGAUCGUAAAAACUCUGUUGUUAGAGAAGAAACAAAGGAUGAGAGUAAAAUGUCAUCCCUG
rnacentral:rRNA from 1 species